GUGGGGAAUAUUGGACAAUGGGCGAAAGCCUGAUCCAGCCAUGCCGCGUGAGUGAUGAAGGCCCUAGGGUUGUAAAGCUCUUUCAACGGUGAAGAUAAUGACGGUAACCGUAGAAGAAGCCCCGGCUAACUUCGUGCCAGCAGCCGCGGUAAUACGAAGGGGGCUAGCGUUGUUCGGAAUUACUGGGCGUAAAGCGCACGUAGGCGGAUCGUUAAGUCGGGGGUGAAAUCCCGGGGCUCAACCCCGGAACUGCCUUCGAUACUGGCGAUCUAGAGUCCGGAAGAGGUGAGUGGAAUUCCGAGUGUAGAGGUGAAAUUCGUAGAUAUUCGGAGGAACACCAGUGGCGAAGGCGGCUCACUGGUCCGGUACUGACGCUGAGGUGCGAAAGCGUGGGGAGCAAACAGGAUUAGAUACCCCUGUAGUCC
rnacentral:rRNA from 1 species